rnacentral:rRNA from 1 species
AGAGUUUGAUCCUGGCUCAGAACGAACGCUGGCGGCGUGCUUAACACAUGCAAGUCGAACGCGAAAGGGACUUCGGUCCCGAGUAGAGUGGCGCACGGGUGAGUAGCGCGUAAGUAAAUCUACCCCCUGUAUUCGGAUACCCCACCGAAAGGUGAGCUAAUACCGGAUACGUUUAUCUUGAUGCGAAUGAUGAUAAAGAAAGGUGGCCUCUUCUUGAAAGCUACUGUACAGGGACGAGCUUGCGUACCAUUAGCUAGUUGGUAGGGUAACGGCCUACCAAGGCUACGAUGUCUAGGGGUUCUGAGAGGAUGAUCCCCCACACUGGUACUGAGACACGGACCAGACUCCUACGGGAGGCAGCAGUGAGGAAUAUUGCGCAAUGGGGGAAACCCUGACGCAGCAACGCCGCGUGAAGGAUGAAGGUUUUCGGAUUGUAAACUUCUUUGAUCAGGGAAUAAGCUUGACGGUACCCCAAAAACAAGCCACGGCUAACUACGUGCCAGCAGCCGCGGUAAUACGUAGGUGGCGAGCGUUGUCCGGAAUUACUGGGUGUAAAGGGCGUGUAGGCGGGAAUGCAAGUCAGAUGUGAAAUGCCGAGGCUUAACCUCGGAGCUGCAUCUGAAACUGUGUUUCUUGAGUGUCGGAGAGGAAAGUGGAAUUCCCAGUGUAGCGGUGAAAUGCGUAGAUAUUGGGAGGAACACCGGUGGCGAAGGCGGCUAUCUGGACCGAUACUGACGCUGAGACGCGAAAGCGUGGGGAGCAAACAGGAUUAGAUACCCUGGUAGUCCACGCCGUAAACGAUGGGUACUAGGUGUAGGGGGUAUCGACCCCUUCUGUGCCGCAGUUAACGCAAUAAGCACUCCGCCUGGGGAGUACGGCCGCAAGGGUGAAACUCAAAGGAAUUGACGGGGGCCCGCACAAGCAGCGGAGCAUGUGGUUUAAUUCGAAGCAACGCGAAGAACCUUACCAAGACUUGACAUCCCUCUGACCCAUUCUUAAUCGAAUGCUCUCUUCGGAGCAGAGGUGACAGGUGGUGCAUGGUUGUCGUCAGCUCGUGUCGUGAGAUGUUGGGUUAAGUCCCGCAACGAGCGCAACCCUUGUCAUUAGUUGCCAGCAGUUCGGCUGGGCACUCUAGUGAGACUGCCGGGGAUAACUCGGAGGAAGGUGGGGAUGACGUCAAAUCAUCAUGCCCCUUAUGUUUUGGGCUACACACGUGCUACAAUGGCAUAUACAAAGAGCAGCGACAUCGCGAGGUGAAGCGAAUCCUCAAAAAUAGUCCCAGUUCAGAUUGUGGGCUGCAACCCGCCCACAUGAAGUCGGAAUUGCUAGUAAUGGCAGGUCAGCAUACUGCCGUGAAUACGUUCCCGGGCCUUGUACACACCGCCCGUCACACCAUGAGAGUUGGUAACACCCGAAGUCAGUAGUCUAACCGCAAGGAGGGCGCUGCCGAAGGUGGGGCCGAUGAUUGGGGUGAAGUCGUAACAAGGUAACC